rnacentral:rRNA from 1 species
AGUGAACGCUGGCGGUAGGCCUAACACAUGCAAGUCGAACGGCAGCACAGUAAGAGCUUGCUCUUACGGGUGGCGAGUGGCGGACGGGUGAGGAAUACAUCGGAAUCUACUUUUUCGUGGGGGAUAACGUAGGGAAACUUACGCUAAUAUCGCAUACGACCUACGGGUGAAAGCAGUGGAUCUUCGGACCUUGCGUGAUUGAAUGAGCCGAUGUCGGAUUUGCUAGUUGGCGGGGUAAAGGCCCACCAAGGCGACGAUCCGUAGCUGGUCUGAGAGGAUGAUCAGCCACACUGGAACUGAGACACGGUCCAGACUCCUACGGGAGGCAGCAGUGGGGAAUAUUGGACAAUGGGCGCAAGCCUGAUCCAGCCAUACCGCGUGGGUGAAGAAGGCCUUCGGGUUGUAAAGCCCUUUUGUUGGGAAAGAAAAGCAGCAGGUUAAUACCCCGCUGUUCUGACGGUACCCAAAGAAUAAGCACCGGCUAACUUCGUG